rnacentral:rRNA from 1 species
CCUACGGGAGGCAGCAGUGGGGAAUAUUGGGCAAUGGAGGAAACUCUGACCCAGCGACGCCGCGUGCGGGAUGAAGGCCUUCGGGUUGUAAACCGCUUUCAGCAGGGAAGAAGCGAAAGUGACGGUACCUGCAGAAGAAGCACCGGCUAACUAUGUGCCAGCAGCCGCGGUAAUACAUAGGGUGCAAGCGUUGUCCGGAAUUAUUGGGCGUAAAGAGCUCGUAGGUGGUUCGUCACGUCGGAUGUGAAAAUCUGGGGCUUAACCCCAGACCUGCAUUCGAUACGGGCGAGCUUGAGUAUGGUAGGGGAGUCUGGAAUUCCUGGUGUAGCGGUGGAAUGCGCAGAUAUCAGGAGGAACACCAAUGGCGAAGGCAGGACUCUGGGCCAUUACUGACACUGAGGAGCGAAAGCGUGGGGAGCGAACAGGAUUAGAUACCCUGGUAGUCCACGCCGUAAACGGUGGGCACUAGUUGUGGGGACCUUCCACGGUCUCUGCGACGCAGCUAACGCAUUAAGUGCCCCGCCUGGGGAUACGNUCGCAGAUUAAACUUAAUAGAUUGACG